ACUGGCAUCGAUGUCGAAGUCUGACGGAGCACGCCGCGUGAGUGAUGAAGGCUUUCGGGUCGUAAAACUCUGUUGUUAGGGAAGAACAAGUGCUAGUUGAAUAAGCUGGCACCUUGACGGUACCUAACCAGAAAGCCACGGCUAACUACGUGCCAGCAGCCGCGGUAAUA
rnacentral:rRNA from 1 species